rnacentral:rRNA from 1 species
UACGAAGGGGGCUAGCGUCGCUCGGAAUCACUGGGCGUAAAGGGCGCGUAGGCGGCUGUUUAAGUCGGAGGUGAAAGCCCGUGGCUCAACCACGGAAUGGCCUUCGAUACUGGACGGCUUGAGACCGGAAGAGGACGGCGGAACUGCGAGUGUAGAGGUGAAAUUCGUAGAUAUUCGCAAGAACACCAGUGGCGAAGGCGGCUGUCUGGUCCGGUUCUGACGCUGAGGCGCGAAGGCGUGGGGAGCAAACAGG